AGAUAGCCUGCAUGUCUAAGUAUAAGCAAUUAUACCGCGAAACUGCGAAUGGCUCAUUAUAUAAGUUAUCGUUUAUUUGAUAAUACUUUACUACUUGGAUAACCGUGGUAAUUCUAGAGCUAAUACAUGCUAAAAAUCCCGACUUCGGAAGGGUUGUAUUUAUUAGAUUAAAAACCAAUGCCCCUCGGGGCUCUCUGGUGAAUCAUGAUAACUAGUCGAAUCGACAGGCCUUGUGCCGGCGAUGGCUCAUUCAAAUUUCUUCCCUAUCAACUUUCGAUGUUUGGGUCUUGUCCAAACAUGGUGGCAACGGGUAACGGAGGGUUAGGGCUCGACCCCGGAGAAGGAGCCUGAGAAACGGCUACUACAUCCAAGGAAGGCAGCAGGCGCGCAAAUUACCCAAUCCCGACACGGGGAGGUAGUGACAAUAAAUACUGAUACAGGGCUCUUUUGGGUCUUGUAAUCGGAAUGAGUACAAUUUAAAUCCCUUAACGAGGAACAAUUGGAGGGCAAGUCUGGUGCCAGCAGCCGCGGUAAUUCCAGCUCCAAUAGCGUAUAUUAAAGUUGUUGUGGUUAAAAAGCUCGUAGUUGAACCUUGGGCCUGGCUGGCCGGUCCGCCUCACCGCGUGCACUGGUCCGGACGGGCCUUUCCCUCUGCGGAACCCCAUGCCCUUCACUGGGUGUGGCGGGGAAACAGGACUUUUACUUUGAAAAAAUUAGAGUGCUCAAGGCAGGCCUAUGCCUCGAAUACAUUAGCAUGGAAUAAUAG
rnacentral:rRNA from 1 species